UGCAAAGCAGCCCCAGGCUCAGGGUGAAAAGCCAGUUCUGGCUGAGCAGCUCCAGUCUCCUCCCACAGGAGCCUUCACUGAUCAUGGAGUUCUUGGCUCUGCUCCUCUGCCUGGUGGCAGCUCCCUACUGUGUCCUGUCCCAGGGGCAGCUGCAGGAGUCAGGACCUGGCCUGGUGAAGCCUUCAGAGACCCUGUCCCUCACUUGCACAGUCUCUGGAUUGUCUUUAACUAGCAAUGCUUUCAACUGGGUCCGUCAGGCUCCAGGAAAGGGGCUGGAGUGGAUUGGUGUUAUAUGGAGCGGUGGAAGCACAGAUUAUAACCCAGCCCUUAAAUCUCGAGUGGGCAUCAGCAGGGACACUUCCAAGAGCCAAGUCUCACUCACACUGAGCAGCCUGAGCCCCGAGGACACGGCCAUGUAUUACUGUGCAACACACAGUGAGAGGACUUCAGUGUGA